UGCUGAGAAAGAGCGGCUUAAAGAAAAAGAAACAGGAAAAUUGAAGUUUUCUAUAGCUAUAGCUCAAAAGUUGCGGGUUUUUGUCUCCUAAAACAUAUCAAAAAUCUCGAAAAUCAAAAAAUACGUAUUUUGGGAAAUUGAGUGUUAGUGAAAAAAAAAAGUUAAUUAAAAAAUCGGCAAUUUUUUUUUUCUGUACCUAUUUUUUUCUCAAUAGUCCUCAACAAUACUUACAAUUUUGCCGAAGACACCAAAUUGAUCAGAAAAUUCACUCAAAAGUCACAGCUGUUUGAAUAUUUAUGUACCAUUUUUGUAUGGACAGCUGCCGAAAUUGUAUUGAGACUUGUAUGGGUGAACCAAUGACACAAAAUAGCUUCUUUGGUCAUAGGGACAAAGUUUGAGCCAAAUCAAAAAAAAUACAAAAAAAUAAAAAUUGUCGAAAUCGGCCGAUUUUGUAGAGAAUUGCUCAUAUGAAUUAAGGUUAUAAAUUUGAUUUGUCCUUUGGAUAAAUACGACAAGUGCUGAAAAUCGAGUUUUGCAACGAGUUGCAUGCAGCAUUUAAAAAAAAAAUCCGCCAAAAAACUAUUAAAAAGGAUUUUUCAGUGAAACUUUUCUUUCCCUGCUUUACUUUGGCAUCCAUGUUUUUGGUCAAAUUUCAAUUUCAAUUGUGUUUUUAUUAGAAUUUAACUGUUCUGCUCCAGGAUGUUACAUUUGCAAUUCAGAGAUUUGGAGAACCUUUCAACUGAGAUCAAUUCAUAAGCCUUUGCAGGGAGGAUACAUAUUUCUACGUUUAGAUUUUGCUAACUGGGUG